GACGAACGCUGGUGGCGUGCUUAACACAUGCAAGUCGAACGGAAAGGCCCUGCUUUUGUGGGGUGCUCGAGUGGCGAACGGGCGAGUAACACGUGAGUAACCUGCCCUUGACUUUGGGAUAACUUCAGGAAACUGGGGCUAAUACCGGAUAGGAGCUCCUGCUGCAUGGUGGGGGUUGGAACGUUUCGGCGGUUGGGGAUGGACUCGCGGCUUAUCCGCUUGUUGGUGGGGUAGUGGCUUACCAAGGCUUUGACGGGUAGCCGGCCUGAGUGGGUGACCGGCCACAUUGGGACUAAGAUACGGCCCAUACGCCUACGGGAGGCAGCAGUGGGGAAUAUUGCACAAUGGGCGGAAGCCUGAUGCAGCAACGCCGCGUGCGGGAUGACGGCCUUCGGGUUGUAAACCGCUUUCGCCUGUGACGAAGCGUGAGUGACGGUAAUGGGUAAAGAAGCACCGGCUAGCUACGUG
rnacentral:rRNA from 1 species